UAUUAAUAUUUUUAUGAAUUAUUAAGAUUUGCUUGAAAUGUUAUAUAUUUGAUAGAUUAUGACUUUUUAUAGAGUAGAUUUUUAGUAUCUCUAUUUUGAUAGAGUAAGAUAUUCAUUAACUGUUUUAGGAUUAUUUGGAAACUCAUACUCCCUCCGUUUCAUAUUAGUUGUCAUUUUAGAGUUAAAAUUUUGUUUAAUUUUAAUUGAUGUUUUAUGUUUUCAAUGAAAAUUUUACUAACAAUAUUCUCCAUUUUAUUUUUCUAUUGGUUGAAAUAUUGUUAGCUGUAUAGGUAAUGAUGUUUUUAUUUUAGAAAUAUGCAAAAUUAAAUAUUUUCUUAAUUUGUGUGUAUAAAUCUAAAACGGCAACUAAAGUGAAACGGAGAGAGUAUUGUGGAAAGAAUAUUUUUAUUGACCAAGACAUUAAGAAAAUAAUUUGAUUAUUUUGUAAUUAUAUUGUCAAUGUAUUUACUUGUCUUUAACCUGCACUAAUCACGUUGUAUAAAUAGAUGCUACACCCUAUGAAUCCAUAAUCAUCUCCAUUAAACAGAUAAGUAGGACAAUAUAUAAAAAAAUAAAUGGAGAAAAUCUCAGCAUUUCUUGUCAUCCUCUUCCUGGUCUCGUCAUGCAUGGUGAAAGUGACUGUGACAAUGCCUGCUAUAAAAUGUCAAACAGAUGAAGAUUGUGUGAAGAAAUAUGGAAGAUGUAAAGUCACAGGGGAUCUGCCAAUUUGCCUCCAUUACUAUUGUAGCUGUUACCAUGAAAUGCAUACUCCUUCAUUGACAACCUCCAACUCUUGAUGUUAUUCAUAUGUUUAUAUAUAUAUUCAUGUUGAUUUGAAUAAUGAAAAGGCUAUAUAUAUAUAUAUAUAUAACUCUUUUGUUGUUA